rnacentral:rRNA from 1 species
GUCGGCAGCCAUAUCACUCUGCUGCUCUCAGCUGGCAGCCUCACUGAAGCUCAGCAGGUGUGAGCCUGGCCAGUACCUGGAUGAGAGACUCCUGGGAAAAACUUAGGUUGCUGCUGGCA